GGAAAUCUUGGUUAGAUGAGCUGUUUUAUCUGGGCUCGCAUAUGCAAGAUGCAGUCUUUAGUAGAAUAUAGUUUCUGAUUAGAUUGUGGCGGGUAACAAACACUAAUGCAGCUAUGGCUUGUCUUUGACCAAUAGAUUGUGAUACUUUUUUUGGCUGCCCCUUGAUUAUUGUUACCCGUAGUAGAGGUCCUUGAAUGAUUUGUAUGUUUUUCAUGGAUCUAUUUAUCUUGAUUUGUAGAGCUUCGAUGUUGAAUGAGGUUUUCAACAAGCCAAAUAGUAAAAUAAGAUUCAAGAUUAUCAAAUAGCUGCCAUGUCCAUUGAGUUAGCAAUAAUCUAAUUAUGCAGAUGCGUAUUAAACUUCAGUUUAUGAUACAAUUUUUGUGGUCUUCUAAGUUUAGGUACAUAUACAUGUCCUGUCCUGCCAAUUUAGACACUUCUACUUCCUACAAUUAACUGAUAAAUGUGUAUAUGCGACUAGUUAUAUUUAUAUAUCUGGUAUCUGAUAUCUAGUCCAUUAGCUUGAUGUGCAAUCUUCAUAUGAAUAAUUGUAUCAUAGUUAAGGCUCUGCCUCAUCAUUGGCAAUGUGUAUGUGUAUAUGUAACCUUGUGUACUCUGUAUUUUUACCCAUCAAGUAGCAGUACUUUUUAGUGUAUAUAAAAACAGUAGAAAUUUGGUUUGGUAUGAAACUAUGAAGCCUCUCUUGUCAACUGCAGGGUUUCUAAUGUUUGAUAGAAGACUUGGCACUUUCCUGGUGCUAGUGUUGAACCAAACUUCGAGCCUUAGAAACAAAUGUUAGUUUAAUUGUGAUGGGUAUGAUUUUUUUAGUUAUCAUAGAAGAUAUAGAAUAUGUGUAAGGGGAGAGCAUGAAUAUUUUGAAGUUAUGAUCUCUUGUUUGGAUUAUUGUUCUUGGGUUCUUUGUUUCUCCUAGUUAUUUAGAUGAAUGAUUUUCUGAUAUUGUUCUUUGUAGUUUAAUAAUGUUUCUGUUGUAAGGUGCUCUUGAUUUGUGAUAGGUUUUAUACCAUGAUGCUUACUCAAACUUACAUUAUUUUUUGAAGGUAUCAAGCAGGAUAAACUAUCAAAAUUUGAUGAAUAUUGCUUGGCCACUGCGUGAGUUGUAUCAAAUAAAAUGCUGGAUUUUGGAGUAAGGUUAGCUUUUGCUCGACUCCUUCUGAAGUUGGUGUAUAGCAGGUUGCAGCAAUUGUGAGCAAUACUAUAGAUAGUGUAGCAGGCGCGUAGUUUAUCCUGGUCACUAUUGUUGCCCAGUAGCCAAGACAAAUCUGAAUGUGCAAGUUAUGGUUCUUCUAAUAUAGUUUAAAUUGAUGAACAUUUAAUUGUCUCCUUGUCAACUUGAACGGGCAGGAUGAACAAUUUGUCAUUCUGCAUUAGUGUGUUUUUUGUAGGAAAUGUGCUCUUUUAGUAGUGAGACUCAAUACGUGUAUAAAUCAUUUUAAUAUUUAUCAUAUGAACAUCAUGAUUUAUAAAAAUAGAUAAUAAAUAAUUUAUAUGGACAUGAAGUUAUUUUUAUGGUUUCUAAAAAUAACCAAAAGAUAAAUUAUAGUAUAAGAAAUUAGUUUUAGUUUCAUGUCCAAAUUGGUCAUUCUGCAAGCUGGAAGCACUUUUAGUUUUCAAUUUACCAAACACCUUUCACUGCUUUUAACACUCACAGCACCUAUUAAAAGUCAAUUUACCAAACGCUUAGUUAUACUUUACUUAUCAGUCUCUUAUUCUCAGGACAGCUUAUAAGCCAGCUUUUCUUAUAAGCCCAGUUGCACCAAACACACCCUUAGCUUUUCGUGGUCAUAUCACACAUCUAACUCCUCCUUAGGUACUGCAGACCGAUCGUAUCUCUUAUUCAAGGCUUCGGCAAGAGAUCAGAGUCGUUACCAUCUUCUUCACGGCAAGGAAGGUGAGAGAAGGUGCUAGAGUUUUUUUUUUUC
rnacentral:lncRNA from 1 species